ACCCUGCGGAGGUAUCAUUA
rnacentral:rRNA from 1 species